GCAAAAGAGUGGGAAGAUCUUUGAGUAGAGGUGACAGACCUACCGAGCUCAGUUAUAGCUGGUUGCCUACAAAAGGAAUAGAAGUUCAGCCUUUACACUUCUUCUCUCAAAACUGCAUAUACUGAUAAGUGACACAAAGAAGUUAAAAGAGUUAUUCAAGGGGGGAACAGCCCCCUUGAAAAAAGAUACAACUUUAUUUAGAAGGCUAAAGAUUAAAAUAUCCCAGGCAAACAUACCUUGGUGGGCCUAAAAGCAGCCAUCCAUAUAGAAAGCGUUAAAGCUCAAGUACUUUGCCCCUCCCUAAUUUCAAUAAUUCAAUCUUAAGCCCCUUAAUUAGUAGUAGGCCUUUUCAUGCACCCAUGAAAGAGAUACUGCUGAGAUGAGUAAUAAGAGGACCGCUCCUCUCCCUGACACUUGUAUAAUUCAGAACGAACCCCCACUGAAAAUUAACGCCCCCAACUAGAAGAGGGGCCUGGGACAGCCCAAAAUAAACUAGAAGCUCACCCAACAAUUUAGCGUUAACCCUACACAGGUGUGUUUUAAGGAAAGACUAAAAGAAAAAGAAGGAACUCGGCAAACACUGGCCUCGCCUGUUUACCAAAAACAUCGCCUCUUGCAACAAACGUAUAAGAGGUCCCGCCUGCCCUGUGACUUACUAGUUUAACGGCCGCGGUAUUUUGACCGUGCGAAGGUAGCGUAAUCACUUGUCUUUUAAAUGGAGACCUGUAUGAAUGGCACAACGAGGGCUAAGCUGUCUCCUUUUUCCAGUCAAUGAAAUUGAUUUUCCCGUGCAGAAGCGGGAAUAUAACCAUAAGACGAGAAGACCCUAUGGAGCUUAAGACACAAGGCAGCCCAUGUAAAACACCUGGCUCAACAGAAUUAACCAAGUGGCCCCUGCCCUUUUGUUUUUGGUUGGGGCGACCGCGGGGAAACAAAAAUCCCCCACGUGGAAUGGGGCCAACCCCCCUGAAGCCAGAGCCACAGCUCUAGCUAGCAGAAUAUCUGACCUACAAGAUCCGGCAAAGCCGAUCAACGGACCGAGUUACCCUAGGGAUAACAGCGCAAUCCCCUUUUAGAGCCCAUAUCGACAAGGGGGUUUACGACCUCGAUGUUGGAUCAGGACAUCCUAAUGGUGCAGCCGCUA
rnacentral:rRNA from 1 species